UACGUAGGGGGCAAGCGUUGUCCGGAUUUAUUGGGCGUAAAGAGCGUGUAGGCGGCUUGGUAGGUCUCGCGUCAAAACCUGAGGCUCAACCUCAGUUCGCGUGGGAAACCACCUAGCUAGAGUCCGGAAGAGGAGAACGGAAUUCCCAGUGUAGCGGUGAAAUGCGCAGAUAUUGGGAAGAACACCUGCGGCGAAGGCGGGUUGCUGGGCUGAUACUGACGCUGAGGAGCGAAAGCGUGGGGAGCGAACAGG
rnacentral:rRNA from 1 species